rnacentral:rRNA from 1 species
ACGUACCUACGGGGGGCAGCAGUGAGGAAUAUUGGUCAAUGGGCGCGAGCCUGAACCAGCCACGUCGCGUGAGGGAAGACGGUCCUAUGGAUUUUAAACCUCUUUUGUCGGGGAGCAAAAGACGCCACGCGUGGCGUUCCGAGAGUACCCGAAGAAAAAGCAUCGGCUAACUCCGCGCCAGCAGCCGCGGUAAUACGGAGGAUGCGAGCGUUAUCCGGAUUUAUUGGGCUUAAAGGGUGCGCAGGCGGAAGAUCAAGUC